rnacentral:rRNA from 1 species
AUUGAACGCUGGCGGCAGGCCUAACACAUGCAAGUCGAGCGGGGUUUUCGGACCUAGCGGCGGACGGGUGAGUAAUGCGUAGGAAGCUGCCCGAUAGAGGGGGAUACCAGUUGGAAACGACUGUUAAUACCGCAUAAUGUCUACGGACCAAAGUGUGGGACCUUCGGGCCACAUGCUAUCGGAUGCGCCUACGUGGGAUUAGCUAGUUGGUGAGGUAAUGGCUCACCAAGGCGACGAUCUCUAGCUGGUUUGAGAGGAUGAUCAGCCACACUGGAACUGGGACACGGUCCAGUCUCCUACGGGAGGCGGCAGUGGGGAAUAUUGGACAAUGGGCGCAAGCCUGAUCCAGCCAUGCCGCGUGUGUGAAGAAGGCCUUCGGGUUGUAAAGCACUUUCAGCGAGGAGGAAGGGGUGUGUGUUAAUAGUACACACCUUUGACGUUACUCGCAGAAGAAGCACCGGCUAACUCUGUGCCAGCCGCCGCGGUAAUAC